UACGAAGGGGGCUAGCGUUGCUCGGAAUCACUGGGCGUAAAGGGUGCGUAGGCGGGUCUUUAAGUCAGAGGUGAAAUCCUGGAGCUCAACUCCAGAACUGCCUUUGAUACUGAAGAUCUUGAGUUCGGGAGAGGCGAGUGGAAUUCCCAGUGUAGCGGUGAAAUGCGUAGAUAUUGGGAGGAACACCAGUGGCGAAGGCGGCUCGCUGGACCGGUUCUGACGCUGAUGCGCGAAAGCGUGGGGAGCAAACGGG
rnacentral:rRNA from 1 species